CAUUUCAGUCGGCUUGUCGCUUAUUUCGAUUUAGAAUUAAGAGGAAAGUCCGGACACCAUAGUGCGACGCAAUGGGUAACACCCAUCACUCUAAAUCUCUGAUUUUGGGGAGGACCAGUGCAACAGAAAGUAUGUACAGUUCGGCUGUAGUGAAACCAGGUAAACUCUGUGUGGUGCAAUGCUAUGUAUAUCAGCUGUUAAGAGUUGCACGCUCGAUGCUGAGGGGUAAGCAGCUAGAGCAUUGCAGUAAUGUAAUGCCCAGAUAAAUGACAAGCAAUCGUUUCGACGAGAACAGAAUCCGGCUUAUAGACUGAAUUUUUUU
rnacentral:RNase_P_RNA from 1 species